GAGAACAUAGAAUUCUCUGCCAGAUUUUGUGAUAUGCUCUUUGUAAAGAGUUACCCCUGUUGGGUCAAUCUGUUCUCUGAUUUCAGAUUCCCCCACCCUCAUUGGCAUUGCUCUCAAAGUUGUCUCUCGUCUGAAGUGUGGGGUAGGGGAUGCUUUCUGGUGCACUAUAAGGUCUUCCUUCCUUGAAAUUGGGCAAAAAGGUAGCACUGUCCUGUAAAUUCCUUGCUGCAGACAUAUAAUGUAUAAAGUUGCAAUACGCUUUGUUAUUGGAAUUAUGGAAUUUUUAUUGUUUAGAUAGUAUGGGAUUGUUAUUAGGACGUGGACCGUUAAUGGUUUCGGGUAUGCAAGUGAUUUUAGUUGUAAAUUUUUAUGCAGGCAGCACUGUCCUGUAAAUUUCUUUUUUCGGUAUUAUCUUAGUGGAUUCCUUAUACUUCUA